rnacentral:rRNA from 1 species
UAGGAGCACCUUCGUGGUGUGACUGCGUACCUUUUGUAUAAUGGGUCAGCGACUUAUAUUCAGUGGCAAGGUUAACCGUAUAGGGGAGCCGUAGCGAAAGCGAGUCUUAACUGGGCGCUCAGUCUCUGGAUAUAGACCCGAAACCGGGUGAUCUAGCCAUGGGCAGGUUGAAGGUUGAGUAACAUCAACUGGAGGACCGAACCGACUAAUGUUGAAAAAUUAGCGGAUGACUUGUGGCUAGGGGUGAAAGGCCAAUCAAACUCGGAGAUAGCUGGUUCUCCCCGAAAGCUAUUUAGGUAGCGCCUCGGACGAAUACUACUGGGGGUAGAGCACUGUUAAGGCUAGGGGGUCAUCCCGACUUACCAACCCUUUGCAAACUCCGAAUACCAGUAAGUACUAUCCGGGAGACACACGGCGGGUGCUAACGUCCGUCGUGGAGAGGGAAACAACCCAGACCGCCAGCUAAGGUCCCAAAGUAUUGCUAAGUGGGAAACGAUGUGGGAAGGCUCAGACAGCUAGGAUGUUGGCUUAGAAGCAGCCAUCAUUUAAAGAAAGCGUAAUAGCUCACUAGUCGAGUCGGCCUGCGCGGAAGAUGUAACGGGGCUAAGCAAUACACCGAAGCUGCGGCAAUGCCUUUUAGGUAUUGGGUAGGGGAGCGUUCUGUAAGCCGUUGAAGGUGGUCUGUAAGGGCUGCUGGAGGUAUCAGAAGUGCGAAUGCUGACAUGAGUAACGACAAAGGGGGUGAAAAACCUCCUCGCCGGAAGACCAAGGGUUCCUGUCCAACGUUAAUCGGGGCAGGGUGAGUCGACCCCUAAGGUGAGGCCGAAAGGCGUAAUCGAUGGGAAACGGGUUAAUAUUCCCGUACUUCUGACUAUUGCGAUGGGGGGACGGAGAAGGCUAGGUGGGCCAGGCGACGGUUGUCCUGGUUCAAGUGCGUAGGCUUAAGAGUUAGGUAAAUCCGGCUCUUUCUAAGGCUGAGACACGACGUCGAGCUGCUACGGCAGUGAAGUCAUUGAUGCCAUGCUUCCAGGAAAAGCCUCUAAGCUUCAGAUAGUCAGGAAUCGUACCCCAAACCGACACAGGUGGUCGGGUAGAGAAUACCAAGGCGCUUGAGAGAACUCGGGUGAAGGAACUAGGCAAAAUGGUACCGUAACUUCGGGAGAAGGUACGCUCUUGAUGGUGAAGUCCCUCGCGGAUGGAGCUGACGAGAGUCGCAGAUACCAGGUGGCUGCAACUGUUUAUUAAAAACACAGCACUGUGCAAAAUCGCAAGAUGACGUAUACGGUGUGACGCCUGCCCGGUGCCGGAAGGUUAAUUGAUGGGGUUAGCGCAAGCGAAGCUCUUGAUCGAAGCCCCGGUAAACGGCGGCCGUAACUAUAACGGUCCUAAGGUAGCGAAAUUCCUUGUCGGGUAAGUUCCGACCUGCACGAAUGGCGUAAUGAUGGCCACGCUGUCUCCACCCGAGACUCAGUGAAAUUGAAAUCGCUGUGAAGAUGCAGUGUACCCGCGGCUAGACGGAAAGACCCCGUGAACCUUUACUACAGCUUGGCACUGAACAUUGAACCUACAUGUGUAGGAUAGGUGGGAGGCUAUGAAGACGUGACGCUAGUUGCGUUGGAGCCGUCCUUGAAAUACCACCCUUGUAUGUUUGAUGUUCUAACUUAGCCCCAUUAUCUGGGGUGAGGACAGUGCCUGGUGGGUAGUUUGACUGGGGCGGUCUCCUCCCAAAGAGUAACGGAGGAGCACGAAGGUGGGCUAAUCACGGUUGGACAUCGUGAGGUUAGUGCAAUGGCAUAAGCCCGCUUAACUGCGAGAAUGACGGUUCGAGCAGGUGCGAAAGCAGGUCAUAGUGAUCCGGUGGUUCUGUAUGGAAGGGCCAUCGCUCAACGGAUAAAAGGUACUCCGGGGAUAACAGGCUGAUACCGCCCAAGAGUUCAUAUCGACGGCGGUGUUUGGCACCUCGAUGUCGGCUC